GAAAGCCGUGUGCAAUGAAAAAUGCAAGCACGGUUUGGGGAGGGAAUUUUUUAUUCUUUAACCUAGUUUUUUUUAACAAGGAAAUUAUCUACUCCAU
rnacentral:ncRNA from 1 species